UACGUAGGUGGCAAGCGUUGUCCGGAUUUACUGGGCGUAAAGAGCUCGUAGGCGGCUUGUCACGUCGGGUGUGAAAGCCCGGGGCUUAACCCCGGGUCUGCAUUCGAUACGGGCAGGCUAGAGUGUGGUAGGGGAGAUCGGAAUUCCUGGUGUAGCGGUGAAAUGCGCAGAUAUCAGGAGGAACACCGGUGGCGAAGGCGGAUCUCUGGGCCAUUACUGACGCUGAGGAGCGAAAGCGUGGGGAGCGAACAGG
rnacentral:rRNA from 1 species